ACGUCACUUCCGCUCCAAGAAUUCCGAAUCUGGAACCCGCGCGAUGAGAGCGUUUGUGACCGUCGGGACCACCAGUUUCGACGAGCUCGUCUCUCGAGUGGUCGCCAACGACUGCGUUCAGGUCCUCAAGAGUCUGGGUUACAACCAACUUGUCCUCCAAAUUGGUAGAGGCACUGUGGUGCCUGAGCCAUUCAGUACUGAGUCAUUCACUCUGGAUGUUUACAGGUAUAAGGAUUCUUUGAAAGAAGACCUUCAGCAAGCUGAUCUUGUCAUUAGCCACGCAGGUGCAGGAAGCUGUUUGGAGAGUCUGGAAAAAGGCAAACCACUUGUGGUAGUUGUAAAUGAAAAGUUAAUGAACAAUCAUCAAUUUGAACUGGCAAAGCAGUUACACAAAGAAGGCCAUCUCUUCUAUUGUACCUGCAGCAUGCUUCCUGGGCUGUUACAGUCAAUGGAUUUAUCAACACUGAAAUGUUAUCCUCCUGGCCAGCCAGAAAAAUUUUCUGCAUUUUUGGAUAAAGUUGUUGGAUUACAAAAAUAAACUCUCAACACUUUAAAAUACCCCUAAAUCCUGUUCAUGGAAUACGAUUAAAUCAAAAUAAAUUUAUGACAUGUAUUUGUAGAACAAUAUAAACCAAUAUAUUUACUAUAAACAAUAUUAUAAGGAAUUUUGUGGCAUAAACAUUAUAGUUGGGUCUAGAUCCUAAUUUUAGUUACGUUUGAAGUUUCCCUAACUUUGAAUAUGUAAUGAGUCCUAACUUUGAAAAAAAGCCUUCACAGUUUUGUUCUAAAAUUUCAAAAUAUCAAAAGCUGGGCAGUGGUGGUGCAUGCCUUUAAUUCUAAUCUUUGGUAUCCAGAAGCAGAUAUGUCUCUGAGUUAAUAAGGCCAUCCUGGUCUACAUGGAGAAACCCUACCCAGAGAAACCGUUUCCAAAAACCAAAACAGAAUGGCAAAACCAAAAAAAAAAAUGUUAAUAAGAAUCAAACAUUAAAUGUUGUUUUGAGUAAAAAUGCUAACAAUGUAACAUUUUGGUGAGAAAAAUCAGCAUUCGUAGGAUCAUAAUCUUAAGAGAGCAUUUUUGUAUUAAGCAAAUAUGAGUAAAAAUGGGUUUACUUUGUAGAAGCUAAUAGUUAAUUCGAAAAAGAUCAAAGUAAUUGAUGGAGUAGCUACUCAGAAUAAAAUAGAUAUGUUCACCUUUUGAACUUCUGAUCCUGGGAUUACAGGCACAUGCCACCAUUCCUGGUAAUAUUUGUUCUUCUAAAAUAGACAAGGGCUGGGGAAAUUCUUCAGUGAGUAAAAAGUAAUUGCUCUUUAAGUGUGAGGACCUGAGUUUGUAUCUUCAGGAUAAAUGUUAGUCAGACAUGGUGGUGUGUAUUUAAAAUCCCUGUGCCUAUGAUGCUAUUGGUAGACGUAGACAGAAUCCCUGGAAGACAUUGAACUAAGCAGCCUAGUAUUCACAAUAGUGAAUGGUAAAGAGACCUGUUACCAAGGGAGGUAAAAAGUAAGGAUAGAGCCUUGGGUUUUCCUCUUAUGUUCCCCAGCUCACCAUAGGACACAUGUCUAAAUUCACAUGAGUACAUGCAGAUAUGUAGGUAGAAUGUGAUAAUAUUAACAAUGUCUUAAAUGAUAGAGAAAAAAUCCAAAAAUAUAACAGUAUGACUUGGCUGUUAUUCUUUUUACAUGUUUUGUAUGUGUGAACAUGUGCAUGUGGAAGUCAGAAGACAAUUGGGAUCAUUUUUCUCCUUUAGUCAUAUUCCUGGGAUCAAAUGUGGGUCUCUAGGCUUGGUACCGGGAUGCUUGCUUUCUCAGGAUCCAUUUCACUGGCCCCCUUUUUUUCUGGAUAGAGGUAGUAGUGUUUGCACAUGCUAAGUAUUCACUCUACACUGAGCUAUAUCAUCUGUUCACUUAAUUUUAACAUUUGCCAUCUGGGACCCCCCCACCCACCCAAUACUAGGUCUCUGGGACCCCUAUCAGCUGCAUAAAAUUUUACGAAAAGGUUGUAUUCACUUCCAGGGAUAGGAUCUUAAUGUUUAAUAGGACUUUUAUAAAAUUAAAGGCACGCCCUACCCCCCUGACCCACUUAAUCUUUUUUUGUUUUGUUUUGUUUUCGAGACAGGGUUCUUCUCUGCAGCCUUGGCUGUCCUGGAACUCUGUAGACCAGGUUGGCCUCAAACUCAGAAAUCUGCCUGCCUCUGCCUCCCAAGUGCUGGGAUUAAAGGCCUGCACCACCACCACCACUGCUGGCUCCACUUAAUCUUUUUAAUGACUUUAUGGCUUGAAUGACUACUCAGAGAAUCUAUUCAAAUUCAGAUACAUGGAAAAAGCUCCAGGCUUCCUAUUUUUCAAAUACUGAACUGUUAGGACACAUAAUGUAGAUUUAAUUAUCCACUAGUUAUGCCUUUGUGGUGUGUGGUAACUAUGUUUCUAACUAUACCAUUGUGGUAAUUCAUAUUUACUGUGGGGUUUUAAGUCAAGAUACUUCAAUUUUUACUUGACAGUUUUUCAACAUUAAUCGGAAUUCUGUACGUUCUCAACUGAGAAAAGACUCCAGAGGUGAAAAUUUGCUUAUGAAAACAGCCUUUUGACUUGAGUCCUGCAUUUUCAGUUUGUUUGGUUUAUGGAGAAGGGGUCUCUGUAGCCCUAGCUGUCCUGUAACACAUUCUGUAAACCAGGCUGGCCUUGAAUUUAGAAAUCUGCCUGCCUCUGCCUCCCAAGUGCUGGGACUAAAGGUGUGCGCCACCACUGCCUGGUGAUUUUUAUUUCAUUCUUAAUUUACAAGUAAUGAUCCAUGAUUUUCCUAUAGACUGCAGUCAUUGGAACAUCUCUGAAGUCAAGGUUUUUUUCUUUACAGUAUACCUUUAUUGUUUUUUUUGUAAUUAAACCUGUGUAGAUAAGAAUUUACAUAUUUGAUUUAGUGUGAAAUCAUUGCACAAGUGGAAAAACACAAGUUUAACAACUCCAGACCAAUAGGAAAAAGCAAGAUUUGACUUAUUUAUUCACUUAUUUAUGGUGCUGGUAUUGAAUGGAAUGUCCUAGUGUUCAGGCUUUAUCACUGAGCUUUAUGUCCCUAAAUCUUUUUUUAAACACUGAAGGAGAUUGUAUUUUGGCAUUUUAAAUAAAAAUAAGACACUUGUUGCCAGAAUGAAAUAAUAGAAGCAGUACUCCAGUCCCCUACCCUACUCAGAGCACCUUUUCCCUGGCAAAGUACCCUGAGAACACUUUAAAACACACCUAACAUAUCCAACAUGUCAAUAAUAUGCCAUCAAAAAAAAGCAAAUUUUAAAUUACAUUUUUGACAGUUUUUGUGUAAGAUAUUUCAUGCUGUUUCCAUUUUACACAUUGUAAAGAUUUAUUUUUAAUAAUAUGUUUGCUUUUGUGGGUAUGCACAUGUGGGUGCAGACGCACAUGGAUAAUGGAGGAAUUGCAGGUUGUUGUGACCCUCUUGACAUUGGUGCUGGGAAGUACUUUGCUGCAUGUGCUUUUAACUGCUGAGCUGUAUCUCAUUUUCAUUGUUUUCACUUUUCUCUGUUUUUAGUAGUAGUAUGCAGUAACCUAACAUUCCUCAAGAUCUUCGGUUUCCUAGCGUAAUUAGUAAACUUAUUAGUGGUCCUAUAGACAAUUUUAUCUAGAAUUAUUCUGGUAUUCUCUUACCUGUAAUAGUCAACCUGUUAGUUGCUUGGCAAUCUUUGUUCCAACUGUUGGAGACCCUGCCCCUUUGUCUUUUAAAAAAAGAUGUUCUUAAAUACUAAAGGGAAUUAGUUAAACCCCACCCCCAUCCCUACCCUGAAACCCUGGAGGGCACCUGUAGGACAGAAACUAUUUGGGAAUUCAGGGAGUGAUCUCAAAGCUGCUUGUGGAGUAGGCAGUUUUACACACCUGAGUCUUUGUAAUCUCCUUUGCAGCCUCCCCGAGGUUGUAGCUUUCCCGAGCUCUUAGAUUUCCAGAGAUCCGUUGCUUGGUCACUUUAUGUCUUCAGCUGAUUUUGUGUCCCACCUUUCUGUAACUGUGUACCUUCUUCCUCCCUUGUCUCAAGUUUCUUACUCUUUGGAGCAUCUGCUCUUCGU